UACAGAGGGUGCAAGCGUUAAUCGGAAUUACUGGGCGUAAAGCGUGCGUAGGCGGUUUCGUAAGUCGGGUGUGAAAGCCCCGGGCUCAACCUGGGAAUGGCAUUGGAUACUGGCGGGCUGGAGUGUGGCAGAGGGGGGUGGAAUUCCGCGUGUAGCAGUGAAAUGCGUAGAGAUGCGGAGGAACACCGAUGGCGAAGGCAGCCCCCUGGGCUGACACUGACGCUCAGGCACGAAAGCGUGGGGAGCAAAC
rnacentral:rRNA from 1 species